GAUGAACGCUAGCGGGAGGCCUAAUACAUGCAAGUCGAGCGGUAGAGUGACUUCGGUUGCUUGAGAGCGGCGAACGGGUGAGUAACGCGUACACAAUCUACCUUUAAGAGGGGAAUAGCCCUGGGAAACUGGGAUUAAUGCCCCAUGGCAUCACGAGACGGCAUCGUUUUGUGAUUAAAGCUGAGGUGCUUAGAGAUGAGUGUGCGUCUGAUUAGCUAGUUGGUGCGGUAACGGCGCACCAAGGCGACGAUCAGUAGGGGGCGUGAGAGCGUGGACCCCCACACGGGUACUGAGACACGGACCCGACUCCUACGGGAGGCAGCAGUAAGGAAUAUUGGUCAAUGGAGGAAACUCUGAACCAGCCAUCCCGCGUGCAGGAAGAAUGCCCUAUGGGUUGUAAACUGCUUUUAUCUGGGAAGAAAAGUCGGGAUUUAUCCUGAUCUGACGGUACCAGAGGAAUAAGCACCGGCUAACUACGUGCCAGCAGCCGCGGUAA
rnacentral:rRNA from 1 species